rnacentral:rRNA from 1 species
ACGCUGGCGGCAUGCCUUACACAUGCAAGUCGAACGGCAGCACGGGUGCUUGCACCUGGUGGCGAGUGGCGAACGGGUGAGUAAUACAUCGGAACAUGUCCUGUAGUGGGGGAUAGCCCGGCGAAAGCCGGAUUAAUACCGCAUACGAUCUACGGAUGAAAGCGGGGGACCUUCGGGCCUCGCGCUAUAGGGUUGGCCGAUGGCUGAUUAGCUAGUUGGUGGGGUAAAGGCCUACCAAGGCGACGAUCAGUAGCUGGUCUGAGAGGACGACCAGCCACACUGGGACUGAGACACGGCCCAGACUCCUACGGGAGGCAGCAGUGGGGAAUUUUGGACAAUGGGCGAAAGCCUGAUCCAGCAAUGCCGCGUGUGUGAAGAAGGCCUUCGGGUUGUAAAGCACUUUUGUCCGGAAAGAAAUCCUUGGCUCUAAUACAGUCGGGGGAUGACGGUACCGGAAGAAUAAGCACCGGCUAACUACGUGCCAGCAGCCGCGGUAAUACGUAGGGUGCGAGCGUUAAUCGGAAUUACUGGGCGUAAAGCGUGCGCAGGCGGUUUGCUAAGACCGAUGUGAAAUCCCCGGGCUCAACCUGGGAACUGCAUUGGUGACUGGCAGGCUAGAGUAUGGCAGAGGGGGGUAGAAUUCCACGUGUAGCAGUGAAAUGCGUAGAGAUGUGGAGGAAUACCGAUGGCGAAGGCAGCCCCCUGGGCCAAUACUGACGCUCAUGCACGAAAGCGUGGGGAGCAAACAGGAUUAGAUACCCUGGUAGUCCACGCCCUAAACGAUGUCAACUAGUUGUUGGGGAUUCAUUUCCUUAGUAACGUAGCUAACGCGUGAAGUUGACCGCCUGGGGAGUACGGUCGCAAGAUUAAAACUCAAAGGAAUUGACGGGGACCCGCACAAGCGGUGGAUGAUGUGGAUUAAUUCGAUGCAACGCGAAAAACCUUACCUACCCUUGACAUGGUCGGAAUCCCGCUGAGAGGUGGGAGUGCUCGAAAGAGAACCGGCGCACAGGUGCUGCAUGGCUGUCGUCAGCUCGUGUCGUGAGAUGUUGGGUUAAGUCCCGCAACGAGCGCAACCCUUGUCCUUAGUUGCUACGCAAGAGCACUCUAAGGAGACUGCCGGUGACAAACCGGAGGAAGGUGGGGAUGACGUCAAGUCCUCAUGGCCCUUAUGGGUAGGGCUUCACACGUCAUACAAUGGUCGGAACAGAGGGUUGCCAACCCGCGAGGGGGAGCUAAUCCCAGAAAACCGAUCGUAGUCCGGAUUGCACUCUGCAACUCGAGUGCAUGAAGCUGGAAUCGCUAGUAAUCGCGGAUCAGCAUGCCGCGGUGAGUACGUUCCCGGGUCUUGUACACACCGCCCGUCACACCAUGGGAGUGGGUUUUACCAGAAGUGGCUAGUCUAACCGCAAGGAGGACGGUCACCACGGUAGGAUUCAUGACUGGGGUGA